UACGUAGGUGGCAAGCGUUGUCCGGAUUUACUGGGCGUAAAGAGCGCGCAGGCGGUCGUUCAAGUCGCGUGUGAAAGCCCCCGGCUCAACUGGGGAGGGUCACGCGAUACUGAUCGACUCGAAGGCAGGAGAGGGUAGUGGAAUUCCCGGUGUAGUGGUGAAAUGCAUAGAUAGCAUCCAGAACCCCCGAUUGCGAAGGCAGACUG
rnacentral:rRNA from 1 species